rnacentral:lncRNA from 1 species
GGUGACACAUACUAAUCCACUAAAUUUAAUUCGUGAGAGAUUAUGUCAAUCCAAUUCCACAGAUGAGGAAAUAAGCAAAAUCUUUUGAUUUUACCUUACAGGAUGGAACACAAUGCAUUCAAAUAUGAACUUACUUCGUCUUCACCAAAAUUCGCUAACUGGUCAUGAAAAAGAAUUGCAUUAGAUGAUGUCUUAGAUAAGCAAAAAUAAAUAUUUGGAUUAAAAAGCAUCUCACAGAGCAAAUACUAUGAUCCUGUUCUUCCGAAGAGGAAAAAAAAAGUUAUAAAAAACACAAUAGUCAUAAAAAAAACAAAAUAAAAUAUUGAAUGAUGUUGGUGAAGUCUUCAAAAUUGAGAUUGCAAAGAAAAAGGGAAUUUCAAGAACCGUAAAUUGAAUAUUAAAAGUGGAGAAAAAUUGGAGAAGGAAAAAGUAAAAAGGAGAAAAAUAGUACCUGCUGAUAUUAACUAAAGGCACAUGGCAUAUUUUUCAUAAUCUUCUCC